AUGAAGCAAAUAGGAUGAUAUUUUUCUGUAGAGACCCCUGAUGUCUUCUUUCAUGUCCCGGACACUCCCAAGGAUAUUCAGGGUUCCCUAUAAAGAAUAUUAUUCGAUCUUAUGCUAAACAUAUGGUCUUUUCAAAGGAUGAGUACCAUCUUGAAUUAUUAGAAGAUAGCAAAGUUCAUGUGAAUUGCUCUUUGAUGCAUCUACAUGGUUCCUGUGAACAUGUUGAUGUCUAGACCCCAGUCCAAUGAUUUAUGAAAUAGCAAAGAAAGUUGCUGACAAGCUUAAGGGCACAACAUUAUCUGGUACUUGUGACAUCCUUACUCUACUCUGUAGAUGUUGCGUGAAUUUUAUGGGAGACAACUUAUUCGGUGGAAUCAGAUGUAAAUUAAAAAUCCAUGCUAGCAUACUCACAAGUGCAUUACAUAAACAAGCUUCUCUUUCUGGCCCAGUUGUGCUCUUCAUAUCUUUCUGCAUUACAGAAGAUUGUGUGAUGUCUAAUGUGCGUGAGAGAAAAGAGAGCAGACUUUCAGUGGGAAGGAAAAGUAUCUGCCCAUGUCUAUUUUCUUUAGCCAGUUAUUGUUUGGAUGAUUUGUUGCUGCUAGAGAGGGGG